rnacentral:rRNA from 1 species
UACGUAGGGUGCAAGCGUUGUCCGGAAUUAUUGGGCGUAAAGGGCUCGUAGGCGGUCCAUCGCGUCGGGAGUGAAAAGCUGGGGCUCAACCCCAGUCCUGCUUUCGAUACGGAUGGACUAGAGGUAUGCAGGGGAGAACGGAAUUCCUGGUGUAGCGGUGAAAUGCGCAGAUAUCAGGAGGAACACCAAUUGCGAAGGCAGCUCGCUGGGACGUAACUGACGCUGAGACGCGAAAGCGUGGGGAGCAAACAGG